GAUGAACGCUGGCGGCGUGCUUAACACAUGCAAGUCGAACGAGAAGUGGAGACGGAAACCUUCGGGCGGAAGACUUUAUUUCGAGUGGCGGACGGGUGAGUAACGCGUGGGUAACCUGCCUCAUACAGGGGGAUAACAGUUGGAAACGACUGUUAAUACCGCAUAAGACCACAGCACCGCAUGGUGCGGGGGAAAAAACUCCGGUGGUAUGAGAUGGACCCGCGUUCGAUUAGCCAGUUGGCGGGGUAACGGCCCACCAAAGCGACGAUCGAUAGCCGAUCUGAGAGGAUGACCGGCCACAGUGGGACUGAGACACGGCCCAAACUCCUACGGGAGGCAGCAGUGGGGAAUAUUGCACAAUGGGGGAAACCCUGAUGCAGCGACGCCGCGUGAGUGAAGAAGUAUUUCGGUAUGUAAAGCUCUAUCAGCAGGGAAGAAAAUGACGGUACCUGAGUAAGAAGCCCCGGCUAACUACGUG
rnacentral:rRNA from 1 species